rnacentral:pre_miRNA from 1 species
CUCGCAGUAUAUGCUUGUGUUAUUGACGUGUUUGAAGUGCUCAAUCACAGGAGUAUACUGUGAG